GCCGAGGUGGUGAAAUUGGUAUACAUGCUAUCUUGAGGGGGUAGUGCUCAAUACAAGAGCAUACGGGUUCAAGUCCCGUCCUCGGCA
rnacentral:tRNA from 2 species